rnacentral:rRNA from 1 species
AGCGAACGCUGGCGGCAGGCUUAACACAUGCAAGUCGAACGCCCCGCAAGGGGAGUGGCAGACGGGUGAGUAACACGUGGGAACGUACCCUUUGGUUCGGAAUAACUUGGGGAAAAUCAAGCUAAUACCGGAUAAGCCCUUAUGGGGAAAGGUUUACUGCCGAAGGAUCGGCCCGCGUCUGAUUAGCUAGUUGGUGAGGUAUGGCUCACCAAGGCGACGAUCAGUAGCUGGGAUGAGAGGAUGAUCAGCCACACUGGGACUGAGACACGGCCCAGACUCCUACGGGAGGCAGCAGUGGGGAAUAUUGGACAAUGGGGGCAACCCUGAUCCUGCCAUGCCGCGUGAGUGAUGAAGGCCUUAGGGUUGUAAAGCUCUUUUCCCCGGGACGAUAAUGACUGUACCGGGAGAAUAAGCCCCGGCUAACUUCGUGCCAGCAGCCGCCGUAA